UCACCAUUCAACAUUAAAAAUUAUUUAAGACUUGAAGAAAUAAAAUCUUAAGGCGUCUAGAAAGAACCGCGAAAAAUCGUAGCCAUCAUUUUGUUAUAGUAAACAGACAUAUAACUACGCUGGAUAUCUAUACACGCAGCGAGUAUAUCUUAGGUACGCAUACAUAUGAUUUUCGGUGUAGUGAUGCAUAAAUGUCUCACAUACACGCUGACAAUGUGCUGAUGUACGUCGUGUAUAUUCGUCCGCCGGCGCUGGUAGUGGUGCGACGCAUGCCUACACAAAAACACACUUAAAACUAGCCGAACAACAAACUUUUAGUUUGGUCUUCAUACAACCGUAGGCGGUAUUUUUAUUUCUUCGGUGACUAUCGUAUCGAACGCAUCAAUAUGUGGAAAUUUGCUGAAAUAGAAAUACUCUCGACUAAGCAAAAAUGGAUUGUAGAAACUCAGUUUAUAGAAAAUUUCGAAAAAUAUACUCAAACAACAAAAAUAAAGUGUAUCUUUUAAAGCAAUUAGGAAAAUCUGAAAAAUGUUUAAUAUUAAAAACCGCAAAUUCUAUAGAAGAAAUCAACAAUCCGCGGUUAAGAUCACGACGACCUAAACCACAUCCAUCCUCACUUGAAGAAAAAUCCGAUGACAGUGAUGACUCAAUAGAUUUAGUUAUGAGAAAAAGAAAGGCCAAAGGUAAAAAUCAAAUACAAGCGAAAAAAUAACGAGUCAUGACAUAUUGACAAAAUACGAAGAACAGAGAAAGGAAGACGAUAAUUUUAACGGAGAGGUUCAUGAAAGGGUUGAAGAAGAAAAUGACGGUAGUCAUGAAGAAGUUGAUGAAUAUGAUGAUAAUAAUACCGAAAAUGAACGUGAAAAUGGCAAAAGAAUCGUUAAUGUUGUCAUUGAACAUGCUGGAAGUCAUGAUCAAAAUGAAACAAGUGUGGGAAAUGAAAAUGAUAGAGAAACUUCGGAUGAAGAUUUAUUUGAUACCCAAGUACAGAUUAAUCCAAAAAUCUGGAAGGUGACGCGACAGACCAGGUUCCACCGAGAAUUCAUAAUAACAUAAAUCUGAGAAAUGUAACUGAUCGUAGUGACGAGG